GACGCGAUAGUGCAGUGGUUAAGUAGGCUUGAAUUGGGAUCUAAAGGUCCUGAGUUCAAGCCCCGGACUCGCGGUG